AUUGAACGCUGGCGGCAUGCCUUACACAUGCAAGUCGAACGGCAGCACGGGUGCUUGCACCUGGUGGCGAGUGGCGAACGGGUGAGUAAUACAUCGGCACAUGUCCUGUAGUGGGGGAUAGCCCGGCGAAAGCCGGAUUAAUACCGCAUACGAUCUACGGAUGAAAGCGGGGGACCUUCGGCCCUCGCGCUAUAGGGUUGGCCGAUGGCUGAUUCGAUAGUUGGUGGGCUAAAGGCCUACCAAGGCGACGAUCAGUAGCUGGUCUGAGAGGACGACCAGCCACACUAGGACUGGGACAGGGACCAGAGGCCUACGGGAGGCAGCAGUGUGGAAUGUUGGACAAUGGGCGAAAGCCUGAUCCAGCAAUGCCGCGUGUGUGAAGAAGGCCUUCGGGUUGUAAAGCACGUUUGUCCGGAAAGAAAUCCUUGGCCCUAAUACGGUCGGGGGAUGACGGUACCGGAAGAAUAAGCACCGGCUAACUACGUG
rnacentral:rRNA from 1 species